rnacentral:lncRNA from 1 species
GUCUGGGAUUCCGAAUUAGCGGAGGCGGGUGGAAUCCUAGUCCUGGGGCAGGAGGGCCUGGGAUCCUGAAAGCGUUUCUGCCCGGCUUAGACACUAACCACUUCAAGAGAACGGGAGAGCACCGGAAAAAGGCUUUCCAGCCGCAGGCCUUCGCGGGGUCUUCUCCUUUUGGGGGGCGGAAGAGGGGUGGUUAUCGGGACCGUUCCGCCGCAUUCCUGCCCUCUCGGCGGCCGGUGCCAUCGCUUAGAUCCGCCCAGGGCGCAAUCCGAAAAUUAUGUGCCAAGAGCUAUAAAACCGUUCAUAGAGCCCCUUUGACCCAGUAAACCCAUUUAAGGAAGUACAUUUCCAAGGAAAUGAUCCAAAGGGCGAAGAAGGGGGAGAACUUGCAGAAAGAUGUUAACAGCAGGGCUAUUCACAAUGUUCGUGAUGACCAAAACCUGGGAAUGGGCCCAGUUGUCCAACAAUUGAGUAACCCAAACAGGCGCCUUCACAUUAACAGCAAGAAUCCUGGCAGCUUGGUGGAAUAACAGGAAGCCAUGGUCCAAAUACCGAACAUGAAAACCUUAUUUUAAGAGUAGUGAUCAACAAGAUAUAUAUCCUGGGCAUGUUCUACAUAUACUUAUUUAUAUAGACCAGAAAAAGCCAUGGUACAGAAGAUUUUUACCCAAGACCUAUCCCAUUGUCUACCUGGAAGAAGAGAAAAUGAAUCUGUUGAUAUGAGUUAAACCUUUUUGCAGGAUGGGGUAAGGGUAAGGAGGAGGUUAGUACAACAAUUCUUGUUUUCAAAAGUAAUGCACAAAUGCAUUCUUGUAAAAGUUCAAACGAACCAGAAAUAUAUGGAACAUAAUCUAAAAUUUACUGUUCUGACUAUAUUUCCACAUACAUUCUUAUAUCACUCAAGGCCUUUGGCCAUUCUCAUACAUAUGUAUUAUAGAUACAUGUUACCUUUUCCCCACAGACAUGAAAUUAUACCAUAUCAUGGUGUUUGGCAACUUGGUUUUUUCCCUUCAUUACUAAUAUGUCCUAGAGGCGUGUCCAUGUCUAUAGGCAGAGAUCUGCUUCAUUCCGCUUACCUGCUGUCCUCUACUCCCCAGUUUGGAUGUGCCACACUGUAAUUAUUCUCUAUUCGAGAGCAUAGUGGUUAAGAAACAAUUGCCAAAAUCCUGCCCCAAACACACACUUGCCAUGUGACCCUGAGCAAGUUACCUAACUCCUCUGUGUCUCGGGGUCCUCACAAUAUUUGUUAUAAAGUGCUUAGAAAUGUGCUGGCCCUCAAUCAAUGCUAGAUAUUAUUAAUAUUUUCUCACUGUUAAAAUGAUCCAUUGACAUCCUCGUAUCCUCAUAUUUGAAUAGUAUAGAUUCCUAAAAGUGGAAUUGUCAUAACAAAGGGUAGGCAUACUGUAAAUACAGAUGCUGCCAACCUGUU